rnacentral:rRNA from 1 species
AUUGAACGCUGGCGGCAGGCCUAACACAUGCAAGUCGAGCGGAUCGGCGGACGGGAGCGUAAUACCUAGGAAUCGGACCGGUCGUGGGGGAUAAAGUUCGGAAACGGACGCUAACACCGCAUCCUAUCAGAUGAGCAUAUGUCGGAUUAGCUAGCUGGUGUGGUAAUGGCUCACCAAGGCUACGAUCAGUAACUGGUCUGAGUGGAUGAGCAGUCAUACUUGAACUGAGACCCGGUCCAGACUCCUACGGGAGGCAGCAGUGGUGAAUAUUGGACAAUGGGCGGAAGCCUGAUCCCGCCAUGCCGCGUGUGUGAAGAAGGCCUUCGGAUUGUAAAGCACUUUAAGUUGGGAGGCGUUACCGGCAGAAUAAGCACCGGCUAACUCAGUGCCAGCAGCCGCGGUAAUAC